ACACAUGCAAGUCGAGGGGAAACGACAUCGAAAGCUUGCUUUUGAUGGGCGUCGACCGGCGCACGGGUGAGUAACGCGUAUCCAACCUGCCCAUCACUUGGGGAUAACCUUGCGAAAGUAAGACUAAUACCCAAUGAUAUCUCUAGAAGACAUCUGAAAGGGAUUAAAGAUUUAUCGGUGAUGGAUGGGGAUGCGUCUGAUUAGCUUGUUGGCGGGGUAACGGCCCACCAAGGCGACGAUCAGUAGGGGUUCUGAGAGGAAGGUCCCCCACAUUGGAACUGAGACACGGUCCAAACUCCUACGGGAGGCAGCAGUGAGGAAUAUUGGUCAAUGGACGAGAGUCUGAACCAGCCAAGUAGCGUGCAGGAUGACGGCCCUAUGGGUUGUAAACUGCUUUUAUAAGGGAAUAAAGUGAGUCUCGUGAGGCUUUUUGCAUGUACCUUAUGAAUAAGGACCGGCUAAUUCCGUGCCAGCAGCCGCGGUAAUACGGAAGGUCCGGGCGUUAUCCGGAUUUAUUGGGUUUAAAGGGAGCGUAGGCCGGAGAUUAAGCGUGUUGUGAAAUGUAGACGCUCAACGUCUGCACUGCAGCGCGAACUGGUUUCCUUGAGUACGCACAAAGUGGGCGGAAUUCGUGGUGUAGCGGUGAAAUGCUUAGAUAUCACGAAGAACUCCGAUUGCGAAGGCAGCUCACUGGAGCGCAACUGACGCUGAAGCUCGAAAGUGCGGGUAUCGAACGGGAUUAGAUACCCUGGUAGUCCGCACGGUAAACGAUGGAUGCCCGCUGUUGGUCUGAAUAGGUCAGCGGCCAAGCGAAAGCAUUAAGCAUCCCACCUGGGGAGUACGCCGGCAACGGUGAAACUCA
rnacentral:rRNA from 1 species